GGAUGCUCCGGAUCUGAAUGUCUAGCGACGAUCCAGAUAUCCCGAGCAGAUCACGGCGGGGUCAACCCCUGAUAUCGAGUCUAAGCUCUGGACGAAUGUAUGCGGUUAGGCUAUUCGCGCGAGGGCUCGAUCCGGCGAUGGAUGCUAGAUCCAGAACAAGGCAGACGACGGCAGGAUUUUCCGGCGAAGGUCGUGACGGCGGGAUGAAGAAAUUGAUGAAAUCGUAGGGAAUGAGAAAUGGAAAUUUUGUAAUUUAAUUUGAUACCCAAAAAUAGAGUUGUUUACAGCUAUUUAAACAUGAGUUCAAACUGAAAUUAUAAAAUAAACUAGGGACUACUAAUUAAAUUUCCCUUCUAAAUUGACUCAGCCACUUGUAUUGGACCCAAUUACGUAAUCACUCAUCCAAGCUGGUGACUUGGUGAGCCUGCUUGGUCUGGGGCAGUUGAUCGAACCGGCUGGUUCUUCCCCUAACUUUCUUGGAUCGUCUUCCCCCUUUCCGACCGGAAUUAGGUCGUCGGCUUCCUCUGCUUCCGUCGGGCUGUGCAAGUCGACGAUGGCCUGGACAUCUUCUUUAACGGCGAGAUACCCCAGUGGCUUCGUAUCAUCUCCUCCCCCUUCAGAAUCGACCUUGUCCUCAAGGUUGAUAGCUGGAAAAAACCUCCGGACGUCCUCGACGGCUUCCCAAGAAGCAUCUUCAGGUACAGCACCACUCCACUGAAUUAGCACUUGCUGUUUCUUUUUCUUGCCUCCUUGUAGAAUUGACCUGUGAUUUAGUAUUGCCAUAGGAUAGAUUAUAGGUUUAUUAUCAAUAGAAAUUAGGGGUUCUAUUGAAUCAGGGUUUUCAGGUGGGGAGCCACUGAAUUUUCUUAGUUUUGAGACAUGAAAUGCCGGGUGAAUUCUGCUCUCUGUGGGGAACUCCAGAUGGUAGGCCACUUCAUUGAUUUUUUUUGAAAUCUUGUAAGGUCCAAAAUACUUCUUCCCUAAUUUGUUAUGUAAUCUGUGAGCGACAGUUGCUUGUCUGUAUGGUGUUAACUUUACUAACACCCAAUCUCCCACCUCAAACGAGAUGUCUGCCCUUCCUUUGUCUGCUCGAAUCUUCAUUCUAUUUUGUGCCAAUUCUAGAUUAUUUUUGAUUUUCUGUAAGGUCUCCUCUCUUAGUUUUAGAUUUAUGCUAACAACCUCUAGUGUUGAGUCUCCUUCUGUGAAAUGUGGAAUAUCAGAUGAUUCCUUUCCAUAAAGAGCCAUAAAUGGUGUCAUACCUAGAGAGGAAUGAAAACUAGAAUUGUACCAUAAUUCAGACCAAGGUAACUGUUUCAGCCAAUUUCUAGGACAGUCAUGACAAUAUGAUCUUAGAUACAUUUCUAAGGUCCUAUUUACCACCUCUGUUUGCCCAUCUGAUUGUGGGUGAUAAGCAGAUGAAAAAUUCAGUUUUGUGCCAUUGAGCUUGUGUAAUUCUUUCCAAAACUUGGAUGUGAAAACCCUAUCCCUGUCAGAAACUAUAGAUGUAGGAAUGCCAUGUAGUUUGAUAAUAUCUCUUACAAAAACUUCAGCCACUUUAGAGGCAGUAAAAUUAGGAGGUAGAGCACUGAAAUGUGCAUACUUAGAUAAUCUGUCAACUACAACCAUUAUCACUGUUUUACCUUCAACUUUUGGUAAAUCAGUUAUAAAGUCCAUUGUGAUAUCCUGCCACACCUUAGAAGGUAUAGGGAGAGGCAUUAGAAGCCCUGCUGAUUUUGAAUUUUGUGGCUUCAUUUGUUGACAUGUAAUGCAAUUUUUUACAUACUUCUUGAUGGUAGAUCCCAUAUUCAGCCAAUAGAAUUGUUUAGUAAUUCUCUUCAUUGUUUUGUUUAUACCACCAUGACCUCCCAUCAGUGAAUCAUGACCAUCAAAUAAAAUUUGAGGGAUAAGAUCUGAAUUUUUAUUUACAAAAUACCUGUCUUUGUACAGCAAUACACCAUUUCUGACUCUAUAUCCUUCCAAGCUUUUAAUUUCAGAAGAGUGCUCUUGAAUCAAUUUCUGUGAGUAGGGGUUGUUAUGAUUUUCCCUUUUUAGAUCCUCCAAUAGUUUUGAAAUGGGUCCAGUAAUUGCUAAUAAGGAUCCCGGAUAGCCCAAUGAGUUACUAGUGAAUAACACUUCCUCUUCUUUAUUCUCUUCAAAAGAUCUUGAAAGAGCAUCUGCCACUAAAUUUUCUUUCCCGGGUUUGUAGAUGAUGCUGAAAUCAAAACCUAGUAAUUUACAAAGAAAAACCUGUUGUUCUGGGGUUUGAAUAGACUGUGUAAGUAGAUUCUUAAGGCUUUUGUGAUCAGUCUUAAUUAAGAAAUGAGAACCCAAUAAGUAAUGUCUCCACUUUCCCACUGCGGAUGUAAUAGCAAACAUCUCUUUCACAUAAAUUGAGGCUGAACUGAUCCUGCCUGAUAUUUUCUUGCUGAAAAAAGAAAUAGGAUGAUUCUCUUGUGAUAAUACAGCCCCUAUGCCACUUUUACAAGCAUCAGUUUCAAUACUGAAUUGUUUAGUAAAAUCAGGGAAUCCUAGAACAGGUGCUGUCACCAUAGCUUGUUGCAACUUCAUAAAACUCUCAGAAGCUUUUUCUCCCCAUUUGAAACAAUUUUUCUUUAACAAGUCAGUCAUUGGGGCUGCGAUCUGAGCAUAUCCUCUUAUGAACCUUCUGUAAUAACCUGUAAGUCCUAAAAACCCUCUCAAUCCUUUAAUUGUUUUAGGUACCUUCCAAUCCACCAUAGCCUUGAUUUUGUCGGGGUCUGGAUGCACACCAUCCACAGCUACAAUAUGCCCUAAAAAGGUCAUAGAUUCCCUUCCAAAAGAGCAUUUAGAUAGCUUGGCCAGCAACCUGUUUUUUCUUAAAAUUUCAAAUACACAAUGAAGGUGAUUAGUAUGCUCUUCAACUGAUGCACUAUAAACGAGUAUGUCAUCAAAGAAUACUAUCACGAACUUCCUUAGAUAUUUUUCAAACACAGAGUUCAUUACAGCUUGGAAUGUAGCAGGUGCAUUGGUGAGGCCAAAUGGCAUCACUAGAAAUUCAAAAUGGCCCUGAUGAGUUCUAAAAGCAGUUUUUUCUGUGUGAGAAGGGUGAACUCUGAUCUGGUGAAAUCCUGAUCUCAAAUCCAAUUUGGAAUAAACUGCAGAUCCUUUUAACUCGCCCAACAAUUCAUCCACAGUUGGGAUGGGAUACUUAUCCUUGACUGUUAGAGCAUUCAGCGCCCUAUAGUCUACACAUAGCCUGUAACCUCCAUCUUUCUUCUUGACUAAUAGAACUGGUGAAGAGUAUGGACUGUUGCUGGACUUUAUAAUGUUUUGCUUCAUCAUUUCCAUAACUAAUUUCUCAAUUUCAGUCUUUUGAAACUGGGGAUAUCGGUAUGGUCUGACAUUUACCGGCUUAGAAUUUGGCUCAAGAUGGAUAAAAUGAUCGAACUUUCUCUGAGGUGGCAGUUGAGUGGGGGGUUCAAAGAUAUCACUAUACUCUUGUAUCUUUUCUGUUAGCUCUGGGUACGGUGUAUCCAGUACAGUUACUUCCUUUUCCUCCUUUUUCUCCAUAUAGCACAAAUAUACUUCCUGAGUUGAUGCUAUUAGGCAUUUGAGUUGCCCCACAGUUAAAGGAUCAUCUGAGAUCCAAGCCAGACCUUGCCAACUCACUUUGUUUCCCUUCCACAUAAAUUCCAUUAAAAGCUUUUCAAAAUCGAAUGUAACCGGGCCCAAUGUUUUCAUACCUUGAAUACCUAUGACCAUAUUAGCUCCUGACAUGUCAAGUAGGAAUAUAUCCAUUUUUAUACAUGUGUUUUGUAUAAAAAUCUCAACUCCCUUACAUAUUUCAGAACAAGUGAGUUUCUCCCCACUUCCCGUUGAGACAUUAAAGGGUACAAUCAAUUCAAUAGUCAAUUUUAGAGCUCUGGCCACCUCUUUUUGCAUAAAAUUAUGGGUAGAACCUGUGUCUACAAGAACACUUACUGAAUUGUUUGAAAUUACUCCCUUCAAUCUUAUUGUAUUUGAGCUAAUAUGACCUUCAAAAGCAUGGAGUGAAAUUUCUGUUUGUGUUCCUCCCACCAAAGUGGAUAUCUCCUCUACAUUUGCUUCCACUUCCUCUUGUUCUUCUAUUUCCUCCAGAAAAUUCAGAUCAGCUGAAAGUCGAAAUAAUUUGCCCUGCCUGCCUUUACAUACCUGAUUAUGAUUAGGCACAAACUUCUCUUCGCAAUUAAAACACAGACCCUUGCUUCUUUUUUCUGCCUUUUCAGCUUGAGAUAAUUUUUUAAAUACAUUCGUGUCUUCCUUAGCAGCCAAUGGAGCUUUUAACACACUUGUCGAAUAAGUUUUAUUAGGCUGUGAAGAAGAAGAUGUAUACUUGGUAUUAAAUGGUUUGUAGACUGAUGUUUUAUGCCCCCCUCUCUUUGCAUCAAGCAUAUUAGAUAUUUCCAUUGCUUCAUGUAUAGUUGCUGGCUUGCUUAAUACAACGUCAUCUUGUAAUUCUUCUUUUAAUCCAGAAAUAUACAUUUCUAGGAUGAAAUAUUCCGGCAAACCCAACACUCUUGUACACAUUUCUUCGAAUUUACUUUGAUAUUCCAUCAGGCUUCCUUCUUGUUUAAGUUUGCUUAGUUUGCCCCCGGGAAGUUGGUAGUGGAGUGUUGUGAAUUUCCUGAUUACAGAAUCUACAAAAUUCACCCAAUUUGUUAACAUGUUGCUUGCUUCCAUCCAUGCGAACCACUUCUUAGCCAGCCCAUCUAAGUGAAAGGAAACAAUCAAUAGCUUCUGGUCCUCAGGGAUUUUAUUAAAAAUAAAAUACCUCCGCACUGCAAAUAUCCAAUGCUCUGCCUCUGUCCCGUCAAAUCUUGGCAUAUUCACUUUUACAUGCUUUGCUGGAACAUAAUUAGGGUCAUUCAGAAUGUUUAAGGCGUAACAGGGAUUAUCAAGGUUCACCACUGAUUUGUAAUAUUUCCCCGGGUGCUCAGUCAUUACUAACUUUUCUUCUAGAGUCUCCUGAUUUUUUUGAUCUGGGGGCUUGUUUUUAACAUUAUUUUCGCAUAGAUCUGAAAUUUGUUUGCUUAACUGCAGGAAAUUAUUGUUGACGUUAGCUCUAAACUCUCCCAUCUCCUGGAUCUGAGACAUCUGAAGACUUUGUAGGCGAACAAAAUCCGGGUGAGUUGCUAAAUCAAAGUUUUGAUUAUUUGAAACCAUCCUGAUUCAAAAUAGAGUUCAAGAAAUAUGAAAGCACCAAAUGAUACGAUCCUAAAUCCACAGAUUAGCUCAAUCAAAGUUUGAGGGACCUGAGGAUAGAGGAUGCUCCGGAUCUGAAUGUCUAGCGACGAUCCAGAUAUCCCGAGCAGAUCACGGCGGGGUCAACCCCUGAUAUCGAGUCUAAGCUCUGGACGAAUGUAUGCGGUUAGGCUAUUCGCGCGAGGGCUCGAUCCGGCGAUGGAUGCUAGAUCCAGAACAAGGCAGACGACGGCAGGAUUUUCCGGCGAAGGUCGUGACGGCGGGAUGAAGAAAUUGAUGAAAUCGUAGGGAAUGAGAAAUGGAAAUUUUGUAAUUUAAUUUGAUACCCAAAAAUAGAGUUGUUUACAGCUAUUUAAACAUGAGUUCAAACUGAAAUUAUAAAAUAAACUAGGGACUACUAAUUAAAUUUCCCUUCUAAAUUGACUCAGCCACUUGUAUUGGACCCAAUUACGUAAUCACUCAUCCAAGCUGGUGACUUGGUGAGCCUGCUUGGUCUGGGGCAGUUGAUCGAACCGGCUGGUUCUUCCCCUAACUUUCUUGGAUCGUCUUCCCCCUUUCCGACCGGAAUUAGGUCGUCGGCUUCCUCUGCUUCCGUCGGGCUGUGCAAGUCGACGAUGGCCUGGACAUCUUCUUUAACGGCGAGAUACCCCAGUGGCUUCGUAUCAGAGACAC
rnacentral:lncRNA from 1 species